rnacentral:rRNA from 1 species
CAAGAGUGAAACUCAAAGGAAUUGACGGGGACCCGCACAAGUAGCGGAGCAUGUGGUUUAAUUCGAAGCAACGCGAAGAACCUUACCUAAGCUUGACAUCCCGAUGACAUCUCCUUAAUCGGAGAGUUCCCUUCGGGGACAUUGGUGACAGGUGGUGCAUGGUUGUCGUCAGCUCGUGUCGUGAGAUGUUGGGUUAAGUCCCGCA